GAUGAACGCUGGCGGCGUGCCUAAUACAUGCAAGUCGAGCGAACGGACGAGAAGCUUGCUUCUCUGAUGUUAGCGGCGGACGGGUGAGUAACACGUGGAUAACCUACCUAUAAGACUGGGAUAACUUCGGGAAACCGUAGCUAAUACCGGAUAAUAUUUUGAACCGCAUGGUUCAAAAGUGAAAGACGGUCUUGCUGUCACUUAUAGAUGGAUCCGCGCUGCAUUAGCUAGUUGAUAAGGUAACGGCUUACCAAGGCAACGAUGCAUAGCCGACCUGAGAGGGUGAUCGGCCACACUGGAACUGAGACACGGUCCAGACUCCUACGGGAGGCAGCAGUAGGGAAUCUUCCGCGAUGGGCGAAAGCCUGACGGAGCAACGCCGCGUGAGUGAUGAAGGUCUUCGGAUCGUAAAACUCUGUUAUUAGGGAAGAACAUAUGUGUAAGUAACUGUGCACAUCUUGACGGUACCUAAUCAGAAAGCCACGGCUAACUACGUG
rnacentral:rRNA from 1 species